rnacentral:rRNA from 1 species
CCUACGGGUGGCAGCAGUGGGGAAUAUUGCGCAAUGGGCGAAAGCCUGACGCAGCGACGCCGCGUGAGGGAUGAAGGUCUUCGGAUCGUAAACCUCUGUCAGCAGGGAAGAACGGUCACUGUUCUAAUAAGCAGUGAAUUGACGGUACCUGCAAAGGACGCACCGGCUAACACCGUUCCAGCAGUCGCGGUAAUACGGCGGGUGCGAGCGUUAAUCGGAAUUAGUGGGCGUAAAGCGGUCGUAGGCGGGAUGUCAAGUCAAGGGUGAAAUCCCCGCGGUCAACGUGGGAACUGCCUUUGAAAAUGGCAAAGUGGAGGGGGUGAGAGGAUAGGGGAAUUGCAGGGGGAGGAGUGAAAACGG